ACCUGGGAGAGCUCAGUCAGUAGAGCAUGAGACUGUUAAUCGCAGGGUUGUGGGUUUGAGCCCCACGUUGGGCA